rnacentral:rRNA from 13 species
CCGUGGAGAGAUCACUAGUGAGAAUGAUGACAUGAGUAGCGACAAAGAGUGUGAGAGACACUCUCGCCGAAAAUCCAAGGGUUCCUGCUUAAAGCUAAUCUGAGCAGGGUAAGCCGACCCCUAAGGCGAGGCCGAAAGGCGUAGUCGAUGGGAACCAGGUUAAUAUUCCUGGGCCAGAUGGAAGUGACGGAUCUCGAGGGUAGUUCAUCCUUAUCGGAUUGAAUGGGCUGCUUAGAGGUCCCUGGAAAUAGCUCCAUCGCUAGAUCGUACCCUAAACCGACACAGGUGGAUAGGUAGAGAAUACCAAGGCGCUUGAGAGAACUAUGUUGAAGGAACUCGGCAAAAUACCUCCGUAAGUUCG